UUAAUACAAUUUUUUAUGGAGUUGGAACAGCGUCCCUACGUUUGCCGCUAGGGGCGCUAUCCAACUCCAUACAAAUUAGAGUUA
rnacentral:pre_miRNA from 1 species